rnacentral:rRNA from 1 species
UACGAAGGGUGCUAGCGUUGCUCGGAAUUACUGGGCGUAAAGCGCACGUAGGCGGCUUCUUAAGUCGGUGGUGAAAUCCUGGAGCUCAACUCCAGAACUGCCUUCGAUACUGAGAAGCUCGAGUCCGGGAGAGGUGAGUGGAACUGCGAGUGUAGAGGUGAAAUUCGUAGAUAUUCGCAAGAACACCAGUGGCGAAGGCGGCUCACUGGCCCGGUACUGACGCUGAGGUGCGAAAGCGUGGGGAGCAAACAGG